CACGUAGGCACCAAGCGUUGUCCGGAUUUAUUGGGCGUAAAGAGCUCGUAGGCGGUUCGGUAAGUCGGGUGUGAAAACUCUGGGCUCAACCCAGAGCCGCCACCCGAUACUGCUGUGACUUGAGUUCGGUAGGGGAGCGGGGGAUUCCUGGUGUAGCGGUGAAAUGCGCAGAUAUCAGGAAGAACACCCGUGGCGAAGGCGGCUCUCUGGGACGGUACUGACGCUGAGGUGCGAAAGCGUGGGGAGCAAACAGG
rnacentral:rRNA from 1 species